GCUAACGCGUUAAGUCGACCGCCUGGGGAGUACGGCCGCAAGGUUAAAACUCAAAUGAAUUGACGGGGGCCCGCACAAGCGGUGGAGCAUGUGGUUUAAUUCGAUGCAACGCGAAGAACCUUACCUACUCUUGACAUCCAGCGAACUUAGCAGAGAUGCUUUGGUGCCUUCGGGAACGCUGAGACAGGUGCUGCAUGGCUGUCGUCAGCUCGUGUUGUGAAAUGUUGGGUUAAGUCCCGCAACGAGCGCAACCCUUAUCCUUUGUUGCCAGCGAUUCGGUCGGGAACUCAAAGGAGACUGCCGGUGAUAAACCGGAGGAAGGUGGGGAUGACGUCAAGUCAUCAUGGCCCUUACGAGUAGGGCUACACACGUGCUACAAUGGCGCAUACAAAGAGAAGCGACCUCGCGAGAGCAAGCGGACCUCACAAAGUGCGUCGUAGUCCGGAUCGGAGUCUGCAACUCGACUCCGUGAAGUCGGAAUCGCUAGUAAUCGUGGAUCAGAAUGCCACGGUGAAUACGUUCCCGGGCCUUGUACACACCGCCCGUCACACCAUGGGAGUGGGUUGCAAAAGAAGUAGUGUAGCUUAAC
rnacentral:rRNA from 1 species